GACGAACGCUGGCGGCGUGCCUAACACAUGCAAGUCGAGCGGAAAUAUUCUGAAGAGUAAUCGGAAGGAUAUUUAGCGGCGGACGGGUGAGUAACACGUGGGCAACCUGCCCUGUACAGGGGGAUAACACUGGGAAACUAGUGCUAAUACCGCAUGAUACGCGAAGAUGGCAUCAUUUUUGCGUCAAAGGAGAAAUCCGGUACAGGAUGGGCCCGCGUCCGAUUAGCUAGUUGGUGAGGUAAUGGCUCACCAAGGCGACGAUCGGUAGCCGGAUUGAGAGGUUGAACGGCCACAUUGGGACUGAGACACGGCCCAGACUCCUACGGGAGGCAGCAGUGGGGAAUAUUGCACAAUGGGGGAAACCCUGAUGCAGCGACGCCGCGUGAAGGAAGAAGGUCUUCGGAUUGUAAACUUCUUUGAUUGGGGACGAAAUAUGACGGUACCCAAGGAACAAGCCACGGCUAACUACGUG
rnacentral:rRNA from 1 species